GAUGAACGCUGGCGGCGUGCCUAAUACAUGCAAGUCGAGCGAACAGAUGAGGAGCUUGCUCCUCUGACGUUAGCGGCGGACGGGUGAGUAACACGUGGAUAACCUACCUAUAAGACUGGGAUAACUUCGGGAAACCGGAGCUAAUACCGGAUAAUAUAUUGAACCGCAUGGUUCAAUAGUGAAAGACGGUUUUGCUGUCACUUAUGGAUGGAUCCGCGCCGCAUUCGCUAGUUGGUAAGGUAACGGCUUACCAAGGCAACGAUGCGUAGCCGACCUGAGAGGGUGAUCGGCCACACUGGAACUGAGACACGGUCCAGACUCCUACGGGAGGCAGCAGUAGGGAAUCUUCCGCAAUGGGCGAAAGCCUGACGGAGCAACGCCGCGUGAGUGAUGAAGGUCUUCGGAUCGUAAAACUCUGUUAUUAGGGAAGAACAAAUGUGUAAGUAACUAUGCACGUCUUGACGGUACCUAAUCAGAAAGCCACGGCUAACUACGUG
rnacentral:rRNA from 1 species